AGAGUUUGAUCAUGGCUCAGAUUGAACGCUGGCGGCAGGCCUAACACAUGCAAGUCGAGCGGUAGAGAGAAGCUUGCUUCUCUUGAGAGCGGCGGACGGGUGAGUAAUGCCUAGGAAUCUGCCUGGUAGUGGGGGAUAACGUUCGGAAACGGACGCUAAUACCGCAUACGUCCUACGGGAGAAAGCAGGGGACCUUCGGGCCUUGCGCUAUCAGAUGAGCCUAGGUCGGAUUAGCUAGUUGGUGAGGUAAUGGCUCACCAAGGCGACGAUCCGUAACUGGUCUGAGAGGAUGAUCAGUCACACUGGAACUGAGACACGGUCCAGACUCCUACGGGAGGCAGCAGUGGGGAAUAUUGGACAAUGGGCGAAAGCCUGAUCCAGCCAUGCCGCGUGUGUGAAGAAGGUCUUCGGAUUGUAAAGCACUUUAAGUUGGGAGGAAGGGUUGUAGAUUAAUACUCUGCAAUUUUGACGUUACCGACAGAAUAAGCACCGGCUAACUCUGUGCCAGCAGCCGCGGUAAUACAGAGGGUGCAAGCGUUAAUCGGAAUUACUGGGCGUAAAGCGCGCGUAGGUGGUUUGUUAAGUUGGAUGUGAAAUCCCCGGGCUCAACCUGGGAACUGCAUUCAAAACUGACUGACUAGAGUAUGGUAGAGGGUGGUGGAAUUUCCUGUGUAGCGGUGAAAUGCGUAGAUAUAGGAAGGAACACCAGUGGCGAAGGCGACCACCUGGACUAAUACUGACACUGAGGUGCGAAAGCGUGGGGAGCAAACAGGAUUAGAUACCCCUGGUAGUCCACGCCGUAAACGAUGUCAACUAGCCGUUGGAAGCCUUGAGCUUUUAGUGGCGCAGCUAACGCAUUAAGUUGACCGCCUGGGGAGUACGGCCGCAAGGUUAAAACUCAAAUGAAUUGACGGGGGCCCGCACAAGCGGUGGAGCAUGUGGUUUAAUUCGAAGCAACGCGAAGAACCUUACCAGGCCUUGACAUCCAAUGAACUUUCUAGAGAUAGAUUGGUGCCUUCGGGAACAUUGAGACAGGUGCUGCAUGGCUGUCGUCAGCUCGUGUCGUGAGAUGUUGGGUUAAGUCCCGUAACGAGCGCAACCCUUGUCCUUAGUUACCAGCACGUUAUGGUGGGCACUCUAAGGAGACUGCCGGUGACAAACCGGAGGAAGGUGGGGAUGACGUCAAGUCAUCAUGGCCCUUACGGCCUGGGCUACACACGUGCUACAAUGGUCGGUACAGAGGGUUGCCAAGCCGCGAGGUGGAGCUAAUCCCAUAAAACCGAUCGUAGUCCGGAUCGCAGUCUGCAACUCGACUGCGUGAAGUCGGAAUCGCUAGUAAUCGCGAAUCAGAAUGUCGCGGUGAAUACGUUCCCGGGCCUUGUACACACCGCCCGUCAAGCCAUGGAAGCUGGGGGUGCCUGAAGUCGGUAACCGUAAGGAGCUGCCUAGGGUAAAACUAGUAACUGGGGCUAAGUCGUAACAAGGUAGCCGUACCGGAAGGUGCGGCUGGAUCACCUCCUUAAGCUUGGAAU
rnacentral:rRNA from 1 species